rnacentral:rRNA from 1 species
UACGACUACAUAUCAGGCAUAUCAAUAAGCGGAGGAAAAGAAACUAACAAGGAUUCCCUUAGUAACGGCGAGUGAAGCGGGAAGAGCUCAAAUUUGAAAUCUUCAAGGUUCUACCUUGACGAAUUGUAGUUUAAAGAAGUGUUUUCUGUUAGAUGAGUAGCAAAAGUUCCUUGGAAUGGGACAUCAUAGAGGGUGAGAAUCCCGUAUUUGGUUAUUCAUUCUAGCUUUGUGAUACACUUUCAAAGAGUCGGAUUGUUUGGGAAUGCAGUCCAAAAUGGGUGGUAAAUUUCAUCUAAAGCUAAAUAUUGGCGAGAGACCGAUAGCGAACAAGUACCGUGAGGGAAAGAUGAAAAGAACUUUGAAAAGAGAGUUAAACAGUACGUGAAAUUGUCAAAAGGGAAGCGUUUGACACCAGUGUUGUUUUUCCGAAAAUCAAUUACGAAUGGCUUGAUUUUGUGUUGUAUUGACCUUAUCAGCUUUCUUCACUUUUUUCGAGUCUUUCUUAAUGCACCUUUUCGGUUAACAAGUCAACAUCAAUUUCUUUUGUUGUAAAAGAGUAUUCGGAAGGUGGCUUUCUUUUCGGAGAAAGUGUUUAUAGCCCUAUACUUCUACAAUCGGAGAGAUUGAGGUCUGCAGCGUAGAUCCUUCGGGGUUAGAUACACCUGUGCUAAGUUGUAGCUUUUCAUAGACAACUUGUUGACUAUGUUUAGUCAUUAGCGGCUUACUCGCAUUGUGCUAUUUUACCUACGCUUAGGAUGUUGAGUAGCGACAUACGCAC